GUCUGUGCUGUAGUUCAGCCCUGAAUGUUUCUUACUUAGUCUCGAAGACUUCUGGCCCUAACUUAAUGGCCCUGAGGGUUUCUACCCUGACUUUUUCACUAAAAUCUCUCGGACUUCUGAAGUGAAACAACUCGUGUUCUUGCAGGAAAAUCAAGACUAAAGUAAUUUAUUUGUCUGCCGCUAGAGGGCUCACAACACCUCCCUCCUGAGAUUUGAACAAAUAUGCAAAUGAGAAUGGAAAUAAAAAUUGGAAAUCAAUUUAAUUCAAUUACUUGAAAAGUUAUUGACGAAUUUUAGAAGUUCGAACAGGAAAUUGUACAGUAUUAUUUUCUUGAUGUGUUUCUUGCUUUACAAAAUUAAAUUUAAUUUCUCACUUCACUUAACUGAAUUAUUUCUUGGUCACAAUGAAAUCUUUGAAUUUAGCAGGCAAUCCGGCAGCUCUUUGAGAGCGCCUAGGUGGAGUUGGUUGGACUCGAGUGGGACUCGGCACCGACAUUGGUGAUUUGUCUGGUGGUUCGCUCUUCGCCAAUCCACUUCCCAGGGGGCCCUGAUUCGGUCCAUCCUUCUGCUCCGAAUCAAGGACAGGAUCAGGGGCCACGUCGGGGCGGACUCUGGGCACUUCUUGGACCACUUGAGGUGGCUCUGGCGGUGUCUCGGCAGGUCUGAUGAUUUUCUUGAUCUGGUCAGUGUGUCGCUCAGUCAAGCCUGCCUCUGUCUCCACCAGCACUCGUCGAGGACCCAGCUGGGUCACCACGGCUCCGGCUUCCCAUUUCACUUUAGGGUUUCGGUAGCUCCGGAGGACCACUGGCUGGUCAUCUGGCACCAACUUCAAAGGCUUUUCUGCCACGGCAGCUGCCACUUUCUUGUCCCGAGCUGCCUUUUGGUUUACGACAGCCGACGCUGGACGAGUCUUGUCCAGAAGGGUGUGCGGUCGUCGACCCAGGUUGAACUCUGCAGGUGACACUCCUCCCAGUGCAGAACUUGGAGUUGAAUUGUGUCCCAACAGAAAACUGUCCAGUCUUAGCUCCCACUCUUUCUCAGGCACUUUCUUCAAGAAAUAUUUCACAGUCUGCACAGUCUUCUCUGCAAGUCCGUUAGUUUGGGGGCUGUACGGAGGAGAGUAAAUUAGUUCAAUUCCAUUCAUUUCACAGAACUUCUUAAACUUUUCAGCUCGGAAUGCAGGCCCAUUGUCACACACCAAAAUGUCACAUAAGCCCUGCACUCGGAAAAGCUUUCUGCAGUACUUGAUAGCCGUCUCAGUCUCCAAGUUGUUCGUUCUCUCGGCAUCAAUCCAGUUGGAGAGUCCAUCAGCUGCAACAAUGUAGCUUUUGCCAUGCACCACUUCGAAGAAGUCCAGAUGCACUCUGCUCCAUGGACGAUGGGGCACCGACCACGGAAUGAUGGGCGCCUUCGAUGGCGCUCUGUUGGUGAUGGCGCAAGGCAUGCACGAGAGCGUAACCUGCUCGAUUUCCUCGUCCAUGUUUGGCCACCAAAAGUACGUCCUGGCCAAAGUCUUCAUUCUCGUCUGGCCAAAAUGAUUCAAAUGUAGAAGUCCCAAGACUUUGCUCCUCAAGUCUCGGGGAAUCACUGCCCUUCCUACAAAGGUAAUCACACCAUUAGUGGAUUUCAAAUCUCUCCACCUUUUUCCAAAUUCUCCAUCUUCACUUGUUAAAUUAUCAGGAUGUGUACCUUGAAGGAUUUUCUGUUGAAUACGUCUGAGCUGCUCGUCCUUCUCAGUGAACUCUCGCAACUCUUGCAGCGAAAUGUGGCUCUGCGGCAACUCGAUAGCCUGCAAGAAAGCUACUCGAGCCUCCUCUUCCUCCUCUUCAUCUUCAAGGACGGGCAGUGGCAGCCUAGACAGACAAUCAGCAUUGCAGUUUUCUUUUCCAGGGCAAAACUUCAGCUCAAAAUUAUAUUCUCUCAGGAACAAGCAAUACCUUUUCAGCUUGCUGGAGAGGUCAUCAGACAUUAACUUUCCUUUGCCAAAAAUCCCCAGCAGCGGCUUGUGAUCCGUCAAAAUUUCAAAUUGUUGUCCCCACAAGUAAUUCUUCAGCUUUUUCACGGCCCAGACAAUCGCAAGUGCUUCCAGCUCAACCUGCGAAUAAUUUAAUUCACUUUUCUUCAGUGCUCGUGACACAAACAUAACUGGUACCUCUACCAUUCUGUCCUCCAGCUGGCUCAGUACGGCGCCCAGCCCCUUCCUGCUGGCGUCGCAGGCCAACCGAAUUCUUUUCUUUGGGUCGAAGUACGCCAAGCUGAAUGAGUUGACCAGCAACUUAGUCAUCUUGUCCAUAGACUGCUGGCACUCAGGGGUCCAAUCAAAUGGAACGCCCUUCUUCAACAACCUGUAGACCGGAAAAAGAAUUUGAGCUUUGUUUGGAACAAAUCUGUCGUAGUAGUUGAAAUACCCUAGCAAGGCUCGAAGGUCUUCAAUACUUUGUGGUGGUGGCAUUUUCUCCAGCGCCUCCAGCUUGUCCUUCUUGGGCUGGAUCCCCUCUUGAGUGAAGGAAUAUCCCAAGUACUCCAACUCUGGAACGCAAAAUGAGCACUUGGUCAGUUUCACUUUCAGCCCAUUUUCUAUAAAAAUUUUCAGGACUGCUCUUGUUUUCUGAAUCAGUUGUGCUCUGGUAAAUGCAAAAAUCAGGAGGUCAUCAAAAUACACAAUCACUCCGGAGAUUUUGCAAACUAAUCCCGAAAUCUUCUUUUGAAAAAUGGGGGGACACACGGAGAGCCCUGGGGGCAAUCUCAAAAAUCUGUAAGUACCUUUGUGAGUAGCAAUUGCGAGCACCUCCGAUGACGCUUCAUCCACAGGGAACUGCAAGUAUGCGUCUGCCAGGUCAAUUUUGGUGAAGAAGCACCCCGGCUUGACCUCGGCGAGCAGUUUGUCAAUAGUGGGUAGCGGAAAAUCAGCUGCUGAGCACAAAGGGUUGACGGUGGCGCUGUAAUCAGCACACAGGCGCACUCCCUCCCCCUUCUCCACAUACACUACCGGUGUAGCCCACUCGCUGAACAUCACUUUUUCGAUGACUUUUCUUCUUUCUAACUCAUCAAUUGCAGCACUCGCUUUCUCCUGCAGUCCGAACGGCACACGUCUGGCGGAGUGCCGCACCGGUGUAGCUCCUUUCUUGAGCGGAAUGUGAACCGGUUCUCCCUUCCAUUUUCCCAGCACCGGUUCAAAAACUUCUUUGAGAUCUUCAAAUUCUGGCGGCACUUGUGUCAUCUUGAAGAUCUCCGGCAGUCUUUCAGGGUCAGGUGGCUCCUUUUUCAGGUCCACUGUCUUCAGAAUAAUGGGCAACUCCACUGCAAUUCCUAGCUGCUUGAACCAGUUCCUCCCAAGCAACGAAGGUCCACUCUGCUCCAUGACCAACAGUUCAAGGUUCACCGGCUUGCCACCUUUUGGAGUCACUUUCACCUGAACUUUUCCUGCUGCCCUAAUUUCCCCUUGCUGACCCCACGCCUUCAUCCGCACAUUGCUUGGAAGCAACGCUUUUCUGUCUGGGAAAUAUUUAUCAUAAGUGGAGAGUCCAAUGAGCGAAAAUGUCGCACCAGUGUCCACUUCCAACAUCAAGGGCUUGCCAUUCAGCAGAAUUUCCAACAUCAGCUUCUGGUCUGCUGAAACUGGUGGCUUGCUUGUGGACUCCACUCUUAGCAGGUAAUUUGUCACUGCCUGCAAUUGUUCUUGGCCAUCGCUUCCACUGGCCUCAUCUUCUCCCUCUUCUUGGUCCUCCAGAUGGUGCGCUGCCUUCUGAGUAGAACUUCUGCACACUUGCUCAACGUGCCCUUUUUUCUUGCACUUCUUGCAGGUUAAUUUGUCUCUGACCUUGCAUUUGAAGAAUUUGUGCCCGUCUUUACCACAGGCGAAACAGGUGACCUGUCCAUGCUGCUUUUGGUCACUACCUUGCUGACCUUGACCUUUUUUCCACUGGGACUUUUUUUCUUGGCCAAUUUUGUUCACUGUACCCUGCGAGCUACUCAGCCCAAGAGCCUUUGCGGUCAGUUCAGCUCGUUCAUGUGCGAGGACCUUUGUCUUUACAAAAUCUAGAGUCAACUUUGCAUCCUCUUCAGCCAGCAGCGUUUGCUUCAGCCGCAGGUCUCGCAACCCUGAAAUGAUCUUGGGCACUAGCAACUCAUCCGUUUUUGAGAAUUUGCAUUUCUUGGCCAAACUAGUCAGCUCAGCUAGGUAUACUGCAGCUGAUUCAUCAGGUCCUUGGACUCUCUGGUUAAACUCAUUUUUAUAGACAAUAGUCUGCGGCUCUGUUUGUCUAUAAUAAACUGCCAACCUCUCAGUCAGCUUCGCAAAGGUGAUGGCCUCAAUCCCUUCAGGGUCACUCACCUUGCAGAAGACCUCAAACGCUUCUUCACUUUGAUGAUCAACGAACAUGUUCUUCUUGUCUGCGUCCUCUGUCACCUUCUUCACAGCGAAAUGGAACUUCCACCUGCUCAGGUACUGGCUGAAUGACAGAACCCCUUUGGGGUCAAAUGAACCAAUUACUUUCGCUUUAUCACUCAUGUUGGAUUCAAUAAAUACCCUGGGAAAACCCGGAUGACCGCUUGCUUUCUUGAUUUUCAACGAUUAAAUCCUGCUUCCACACACGCGAAUUCUCUCUAACGAUGAUGGCGGCCACACGAGGUUCAGUUUUCUUGCUAUUUCUCCCUUAGACUCGUCGCCACUUUGCUGUAGUUCAGCCCUGAAUGUUUCUUACUUAGUCUCGAAGACUUCUGGCCCUAACUUAAUGGCCCUGAGGGUUUCUACCCUGACUUUUUCACUAAAAUCUCUCGGACUUCUGAAGUGAAACAACUCGUGUUCUUGCAGGAAAAUCAAGACUAAAGUAAUUUAUUUGUCUGCCGCUAGAGGGCUCACAACAGUCUGUAAUUAAUUUGAUGACUGUUUAUUGAACUCACUUGUCAUCUUGGCCCUGUCCGCUUUGGCCGCGGUGGCCCAGGCGAACAUGUCCGGGUCGCUCCUGGGGUCGGUGCAUCCGGCCUCCUCGUCCGAGGCGUCGCCGCAGGUGUCAAAGUUGUCGCAAACUGCAAGCCGGCGAAUGCACCGCCCGUUGCGGCACCGGAACUCGGCGCUUUCGCAGCCGCCGCUGCAGCCGAACGGUUCGUCGCUGCGGUCCGGACAGUCUGCGAAGCCGUCGCAGAAGCGGCCGUGAGGCACGCAGUGACCGUCCGAGCACGUGAAGUGCGCCGGACUGGCGCACGCGGCCGUGCAGUUGGUCUCGUCCGACGCGUCCCAACAAUCGACCACUCCGUCGCACCGCCGCGACAUCGGCAGACACGACGUCCGGUUGCCGCAGUGAAAGUGGGUAAGCACGUUGCAACCUGAAACACGACGGAACAAAAAAAAAUUCGUCUAAAUAAUAUUAAUUUUGAAUAAUAUGAAAUUAUUAUUCUUUGUUAAAUUCAUCCAACGCUAUAUUUUAUAGAUAAAUCUUUUGGCUGAACUCAUAUUUAUUGUUUUAAUUGAGGACAAAUAAAAAAAGGUUUAUUAAAAACAAAAUAAUAAUAAUUUUAUAAAUUUUUAAAACGCUGUUUUAAAUUUAUAAAUUAAAUCUCAAGCACACAGUUUUUUUAGAGUCAUUGAAGUCUGAUGAGAAGUUUUAACUGAAAAAAUAUGUAAAAUAAUAUCAAAUUACAAUUACCUUUGUAAAUUUUCCCUUUUAUAAAUUUUGAGCAAUUGUAACAACCUUAGAAACCAUUGAAGAAAGGUUUCUUUAAUUUUAAUACGUUGUUCAUAAUUUACAAUAAAAAGCAAUUUUUAUUGUUGAAUCUGGUUUACACAAUUUUUUUGCAAAAUCGGAAGAUUUUGAGCUGACAUCCUGAAUCCUUAACAUUUUUAAGCAGAAGUAGAUAAUUAUACAAUGUAGAAAGGCAAUUGAAUGUGGCUUCCGCAUUAUUACUAAGGUUUAAAGUACUUUAUAUUGACAUAAUUGAAGGUAUUUAACGAUGAAUGAUGAAUAAAUAAAAUAGUCGGCUUUUAAUUCCACUAAAUGCAAAAUAAUCGGGCGUUGUUAAUCAUGGAAUUUGGUAACAGAGGUAUUUGUGUGCAUCAACAUAAGAACUUUCCCCUUCCAUUGCUGCAUUUUUAUCAAAUGUAAAAAAUUAACGAUGUUGUUAAUGGCUUACCACAAUUGUACUCGUCGGAAUGAUCGUAGCAGUUCAUAUGUCCGUCGCACCGGCCGCUGCGGGGAAUGCACAAUUUGUUGGCGCAGCGCCACUCCGACUCCAGGCAGUGCGAAUCAUCAGUGCACCUGAGGUGAAUGUGAAAGGCCUCCGCAUCCCGUGGGGUCGGCGGGGUCUUUGGACGCACGGCAGGAGGGCACCGGUUCUCCAACCAGCGCCACGCAUACCUCGUCUGGCCGACACUCGUCGCACAGGCGGACCGACGACUCUUCACUGUCAGUUCGAUCGGGUCGAGGAGGACGCCAGACGGCCACGACCGCCUCUGUUUUUGAGUGCGUGCAGUCCUUGAUCUGCAGGUCACCACCUCCGAGUUGCAGACACUGCUCGGCACUCUUCAAAACCUAAAUAAUCAUGAAUAAUAUUUUUAUUUUGUUAUUUUAAGUUUUAAGUUAAUUCAGAUAGAAAUUAUUACAUAGGAUAUAAAUUUUAAUCCAUAGUCUAAUUUUGAGUGAAAACAGAAAAAUAUGACAAAAAUAAAAGUUAUAUUUCACAAUUUUUUUUGUUUAAAAUUUAUGAUAUGAAAUCUAUAAUAAAUUAAUUAUUCUCAACCGUUUUUAUAGGGAAAGUUUUAUUUGACUCGAAACGGUUUGUUAAAUUAAAAUUGUAAAAAAUUUAUAUUAAAAAAUAAAAAAAAAUUACAAAUAAAUGAUUAUAAGUAAUUUGCAAUAGAAAACAUUUUAUUAAAACCAAAUACAAAAAUUUAAUAGAAAUGCAAAAUGAAUAAACUAUUAUUUUGUAAAUUUUUGUUAGUUACAAAUUUCAUUAUAAUUUUUGUAAUAAAAUAAUAAAAUAUUUUUAUUUACACAAAAAUAUAUAGAGAUAAAAAAUUAUACAAAAAAUACUGACCACUCCUGUGCCAUUUUUGAGGGCGCACUUCCUGGACCUGGUCUGCACGCCGCCCACACCACAGACGCUCCAAGGCCCCCAGCUGGUCCAGCCGACCUCGGCGGUCGAGUGAUGCUCCCGAAAGGCGCCCCUGGCCGCGUACCCGGAAAAGACGAUUGACUGCACGUCGACGAUCCACUUGCCGAGCCACAUGUGACCCUCGUGGUGACGCAGCCCACGCAAAAAGGCCAGUCCGGCCCUGUUCGCCGGCUCCUCCGCUUCACUCAUCGGCUGCUCGGUGAUGAUCAGUUGCAG